rnacentral:lncRNA from 1 species
AUCCUUGAUUCAUCAUUUAACAUAUAUAUUGAGUGCCUACUGUGUAUCAGAAUUCCAGGUUCUGGAACUGCAGAAAUGAAUAAGGCCAACAAAGUCCCCGUCCACAAAUGAACAUUCUGGUGAAGGAGACAGUGGCCAACGGCAACUUAUAGGCUAUAGGUAAUGUAUGCCGCGAUGCACAUCUGUGAACUCAGUGUAAACUGAUUCACAAUGGGGUAGACAGGCAGUCACAGAACAAGCCUUGCCAAUGAGGAACCAGAGUGGAGAUGCAACUCCGUGGGCAGAGGGGAGCCAUGUGGAAAUCUAGGGAAGACUCUGGGGACAGAGGGGCCAAUGAGGCUGAGACCCCGAGCUGGGCCUGAGCUUGUAUUUAAGGAACAGCAAGAAGGCCAGUCUGCCUGGAGGAGCAGGAUGGAAGGUAUCAGAAUCGGAAUGGAGAGAAAGAGGUUCCUGGCAGCCUCAGGACCUUGCUGGGCCCCCAGGAUGGACUGGAAAUGUCCAGGUAUGGGGCCACUUUUGAGGAUUGGAUCUUUCUGGCUGGGUAAUGGAAGGAGCCUGGUUCUGAAAUUUUACCCUAAAGGCCUGGUCUGGCCUUAAUUUUUCACCAUUUUUGCCUCUACCCCUAGGUACUGACCAGCCUUUGGGAACAGAUGAAAGAAGGGGUUGAUCUUCAGGCUUGAAUUCUGCCUCAACACAGCCCUUCCUCCUUUUGAGGUGCCCAACAAAGAGAGGUAAAGGCAAACAUGUGCUUUUGAUGACGACAAAGCCCAAUGUAGACCCUUGUAACCUAGGGUUGGCCCCUGUGGAGUGUGCCUCCUUCCUGGGCUGGAGGCAGGCCUAAGGCCCAGAGUCAAAACGGGCUACGUGGACAUUCCCUCCUAGCCCACACCAGAAUCUUUCAAGUAUGCAUCCCAGGAAAGGCCUGCACACUGGGGAGAAGCCAGAGCCUGAAGCCUUCCCAACCUGACCUGUAUUCUGCUACUGUGCCCUAGGCCACCUGGGGUAGGGGGAGGACUCAUGUGGGAGUCAUGGUGCACAUGUCCCCAGGUUUCU